rnacentral:rRNA from 1 species
GACGAACGCUGACGGCGUGCCUAAUACAUGCACGUCGAACAAGUGGAGGACGGGUGAGUAAUGCUUGGGAAUCUAGCUUAUGGAGGGGGAUAACUACGGGAAACUGUAGCUAAUACCGCGUACCAUAGGAUGAGCCAAAGUGGGAUUAGGUAGUUGGUGAGGUAAAGGCUAACGAAGCAGACGAGCUCUAGCUGGUCUGAGCGGAGGACCAGCCAAACGGGGACGUAUACACGUCCCAGACGCCGACGGUAGGGAGCAGUGGGUAUGAGGGCGCAAUGGGGGUAACCUGACGCAGCCAUGCCUCGUGAAUGAAGAAGGUCUUCGGGUUGUAAAGUUCUUUCGGGAGCGAUGAGUUAUCUACAGAAGAAGCACCGGCUAACUCCGUGCCAGCAGCCUCGGUAAUUC